GAUGAACGCUGGCGGCGUGCCUAAUACAUGCAAGUCGAGCGAACAGACGAGGAGCUUGCUCCUCUGACGUUAGCGGCGGACGGGUGAGUAACACGUGGAUAACCUACCUAUAAGACUGGGAUAACUUCGGGAAACCGGAGCUAAUACCGGAUAAUAUAUUGAACCGCAUGGUUCAAUAGUGAAAGACGGUUUUGCUGUUACUUAUAGAUGGAUCCGCGCCGCAUUAGCUAGUUGGUAAGGUAACGGCUUACCAAGGCAACGAUGCGUAGCCGACCUGAGAGGGUGAUCGGCCACACUGGAACUGAGACACGGUCCAGACUCCUACGGGAGGCAGCAGUAGGGAAUCUUCCGCAAUGGGCGAAAGCCUGACGGAGCAACGCCGCGUGAGUGAUGAAGGUCUUCGGAUCGUAAAACUCUGUUAUUAGGGAAGAACAAAUGUGUAAGUAACUAUGCACGUCUUGACUGUACCUAAUCAGAAAGCCACGGCUAACUACGUG
rnacentral:rRNA from 1 species